rnacentral:rRNA from 1 species
GUGUCAGCAGCCGCGGUAAUACGAAGGGGGCUAGCGUUGUUCGGAUUUACUGGGCGUAAAGCGCACGUAGGCGGAUUGUUAAGUCAGGGGUGAAAUCCCGGAGCUCAACUCCGGAACUGCCUUUGAUACUGGCAAUCUUGAGGCUGGAAGAGGUUAGUGGAAUUCCCAGUGUAGAGGUGAAAUUCGUAGAUAUUGGGAAGAACACCAGUGGCGAAGGCGGCUAACUGGUCCAGAUCUGACGCUGAGGUGCGAAAGCGUGGGGAGCAAACAGGAUUAGAUACCCCGGUAGUCC